UGACUAAUUAAUACUUUUGCAAGAUGAUUAAUUAGUUGCUAUGUGCUGUGAGUGAAAUGAGAGUGAGAGAGAGAGACACAAGCAAUCACAAACACAAUGUUUAUAGUGGUUCGGAGCUAUCCCUUGCUCCUACGUCCACUCCCCAAGUCUCACUUGGGAAUUCACUAUAAUCCCUUGGAUUACAGCCGGUUGUUUCACAAGCUCACAACCCAACUUGUUGUUUUACGAGCUCACAACGAACUCGGUCGGUUUUCCCAGGCUCACCGACUAGAACCACCCC
rnacentral:lncRNA from 1 species